AGAGUUUGAUCCUGGCUCAGGAUGAACGCUAGCGACAGGCUUAACACAUGCAAGUCGAGGGGCAGCGCGAUGGUAGCAAUACCAUUGGCGGCGACCGGCGCACUGGUGAGUAACACGUAUGCGACCUGCCCCGGACAGGGGGAUAAACCCGGGAAACUGGGCCUAAUACCCCAUAUGCCUUUAGGACGCAUGUCCUUGAGGUGAAAGAUCCGUCGGUCCGGGAUGGGCAUGCGGCGCAUUAGCUUGUUGGCGGGGCAACGGCCCACCAAGGCGACGAUGCGUAGGGGUUCUGAGAGGAAGGUCCCCCACACUGGUACUGAGACACGGACCAGACUCCUACGGGAGGCAGCAGUGAGGAAUAUUGGUCAAUGGGCGAUAGCCUGAACCAGCCAAGUCGCGUGCGGGAUGAAGGCCCUCCGGGUCGUAAACCGCUUUAGCCGGGGAGUAACGUGCGGGACGCGUCCCGCAGUGAGAGUACCCGGAGAAUAAGCAUCGGCUAACUCCGUGCCAGCAGCCGCGGUAAUACGGAGGAUGCGAGCGUUAUCCGGAUUUAUUGGGUUUAAAGGGUGCGCAGGCGGACAGUUAAGUCAGCGGUGAAAUCUCACGGCUCAACCGUGGAACUGCCGUUGAUACUGGCUGUCUAGAGUACGGACGGCGCCGGCGGAAUGUGUCAUGUAGCGGUGAAAUGSUUUAGAUAUGCCACAGGAACACCGAUCGCGAAAGGCAGCUGGGCGAGGCCGGUAMUGACGCUCAGGCACGAAAGCGUGGGGAUCAAAACAGGAUUAGAUACCCUGGUAGUCCACGCAGUAAACGAUGAGGRMCUUUGUUGUCGGCGAUAGAAUGUCGGUGACAAAGCGAGAGCGAUAAGUCUCUCCACCUGGGGAGUACGAUCGCAAGGUUGAAACUCAAAGGAAUUGACGGGGGCCCGCACAAGCGGAGGAGCAUGUGGUUUAAUUCGAUGAUACGCGAGGAACCUUACCUGGACUCAAAUGCAGUGUGACGGGCGUAGAAAUAUGCCUUUCCUUCGGGACAGACUGCAAGGUGCUGCAUGGUUGUCGUCAGCUCGUGCCGUGAGGUGUCAGGUUAAGUCCUAUAACGAGCGCAACCCCUACGUCCAGUUGCCAGCGGGUAAAGCCGGGGACUCUGGAGGGACUGCCGGCGCAAGCCGAGAGGAAGGUGGGGAUGACGUCAAAUCAGCACGGCCCUUACGUCCAGGGCGACACACGUGCUACAAUGGCCGGUACAGAGGGCAGCCACCCCGCGAGGGGGAGCGAAUCUCGAAAGCCGGUCUCAGUUCGGAUCGGAGUCUGCAACUCGACUCCGUGAAGUUGGAUUCGCUAGUAAUCGCGCAUCAGCCAUGGCGCGGUGAAUACGUUCCCGGGCCUUGUACACACCGCCCGUCAAGCCAUGAAAGUCCGGGGUACCUGAAGUCCGUGACCGAGAGGAGCGGCCUAGGGUAAAACGGGUAAUUGGGGCUAAGUCGUAACAAGGUAACCGUA
rnacentral:rRNA from 1 species